rnacentral:tRNA from 1 species
GGGCCUGUAGCUCAAUUGGUAGAGCGCUUCCAUGGCAUGGAAGAGGUCGUCGGUUCGAGACCGAUCAGGUCCAC